UAUGGAAGAAAAUAUUUUGUCUAAUAAUAUAGAGAGAGAUGGCCUGAGGGCUAGGAGUUGUUUGCAGGGGUGAUUAAUAAAAUCUCAUGUGCAUCUCACAACUCUUUGGAGUGAUAUUGUGUAUACGCAGAAACACGUUAUAGUGUGUUUUUUUAUAUUUUUUAAUGAUAUAAAAUAGCAAUGAUCUAAACUAUUGUUUAAAUGCUUCAGGCUCAUAAAAAUUAUGCCAGAAUUGUUUAUUUGUUGAGAUAACUGUUUUUAAUAAAAUACUUUUGUCUUA